UACGUAGGUGGCAAGCGUUGUCCGGAAUCACUGGGCGUAAAGCGACCGCAGGCGGCCUGACAAGUCGGAUGUGAAAGCCCUGGGCUCAACUCAGGAAUUGCAUUCGAAACUGGCAGGCUUGAGUACGGGAGAGGGGGGUGGAAUUCCUGGUGUAGGGGUGAAAUUCGUUGAUAUCAGGAGGAACACCGGCGGCGAAGGCGGCCCCCUGGCCCGCAACUGACGCUCAUGGUCGAAAGCGUGGGGAGCAAACAGG
rnacentral:rRNA from 1 species